AACAGGGAUUGCCCCAGUAACGGCGAGUGAAGCGGCAACAGCUCAAAUUUGAAAUCUGGCUCUCGGGCCCGAGUUGUAAUUUGUAGAGGAUGCUUUUGGUGAGGUGCCUUCCGAGUUCCCUGGAACGGGACGCCACAGAGGGUGAGAGCCCCGUCUGGUUGGACACCGAGCCUCUGUAAAGCUCCUUCGACGAGUCGAGUAGUUUGGGAAUGCUGCUCUAAAUGGGAGGUAUAUGUCUUCUAAAGCUAAAUACCGGCCAGAGACCGAUAGCGCACAAGUAGAGUGAUCGAAAGAUGAAAAGAACUUUGAAAAGAGAGUUAAACAGUACGUGAAAUUGUUGAAAGGGAAGCGCUUGUGACCAGACUUGGGCUUGGUUGAUCAUCCGGGGUUCUCCCCGGUGCACUCUUCCGGCUCAGGCCAGCAUCAGUUCGCCCUGGGGGAUAAAGGCAGCGGGAAUGUGGCUCUCUCCGGGGAGUGUUA
rnacentral:rRNA from 1 species